CCCUUAGAUGUUCUGGGCGGCCCGCGCACUACAUUGGCACUCUCAAUAAGUUCCUAGAUCUAAAACUUUGGGGUAUUCUAUUAAGUGGUGUCGUGACUGGGAUUAACCCUUGCAAUUAUUGGUUACGAACGAGGAAUUCCUUGUAAUCGCGGUUUAUCAGCCCGCGUUGAAUGCGUCCCUGCCCUUUGUACACACCGCCCGUCGCUCCUACCGAUGAAUCGUCCGGUGAAGUUCAUGGAGUGGUGGUUGUUCCAGCUGCUGUCGAAGUGAAAUGGACCUCACGAUUUAGAAGAAGGAGAAGUCGUAACA
rnacentral:rRNA from 1 species